rnacentral:lncRNA from 13 species
CUUUUGACAGGGGGUUCUUGCAUUCUCAUUUCUGUUAGAAAUCUUUAAUAUGAAAUAGUGUAAUACAUAGUAAGAUUAGGAAAUUUCACUGUUUUAUUUUAAUAAUAACUGCUUUCAUAAACUCUCAUGGAUCAGUCCUAACACAGUGACUGCUUAGUAUGGAGUUAAGUUGUAUUUCAGAACUUGGGUAAACAUUUUAUUCUGUUUAUUUCCUUACUAAACACCAAAAUCCCAUUGCACAUAAAAAUGGGUCAUAUUGGUGGAUUACCUCCAAGAAAGACAAACAACAAAACAAAACUAACACAAAAACAAGUAGAGUAGCUAACAGUCUGUUAGCUAAAGUUUUCACUCUCAAGUGGAUCAAUAAACUCCCGAGCCUUAGGAAUAACUGUGCUUAAAAAAAAUGUUCACACUUUCAUCAUCACAUAAUCAAUACAACAAAUAAACUGGUUGACAAAUCCGUUUCUACCUAUUUCCCUUCUUCCUACUCUGACUCCAGCAAAGGCCCCACUUCAGUGAGCUCGACCAUCGAUCUUUCUUUCUCUCGCCCAUCCAUUUCCCUUGUCACUGCAUGAGUAUAAUUUUAAGAAACAUGUAGACACACACAACUUACAGAGAAUAAAAGACACAAGUACACACACACACGUAAUUUUAUUGUAUAUACAAUUAUAUCUACAAAUGCACAUAUAUAAUUAUGUAUGUUAUUAUAUAUGUAUAUAUAUAUGGUGAUCUCUUACCUGAUAUGAAAUGUGUUAUUUUAAAAAGUAGGUACACAAUUAUUGUCUCUUGAUCAAAAGGUUGAACCCACAAAUUUUCUGCUUCAUUUCAUGCAGGGGAGUAAAGGAAAAGAGAUUUUGCCAUUCUCUUCAUUCUCUCGAAGUAUUCCCUAAGGGAGAAGAGCAAAUGAACAUGUAUGAACAAGUCACUAUGCUGUUCAACUUCACAUGGGACUGUGUUCAUUGGGUGACACACAUUUUUUAUUGCUCUGCACAUGUCUGCAAAUAACCAUGAAAGUACUGCCUUUGCCCACGGAUGUAAGUAAGGACAGACACCUCUGUUUUCGGGCCCAAAUGUUGCAUUUUCCAAGACCACCCUGGUCCACCAUUCCCCCAUUCUGUCCCUACAAAAACCCAAGAACCUGGCGGGAACAGACACAGUGGAUGGACAUCAAGAGGAACACGCUGGCAGAAGAGCACACUGACAGAUGCCACAGAUCAUCGAUGGUGGAACGAUGUGGACACAGAAGGAAAUUCACCCAGGACAGUGGGAGGAGAUCCUGGCCACUGAACAACAGAAUUCCAGGGGAAGGCCACCUUCCCACUCCACCAUGCUUCUGGCUCCUAUCCAUCUUCUGAAAGCUUUCACCACUCAAUAAAACCUUGCACUCAUUCUCCA